rnacentral:rRNA from 1 species
CCUACGGGAGGCUACAGUGAGGAAUAUUGGUCAAUGGCCGGAAGGCUGAACCAGCCAUGCCGCGUGAAGGUCAGUGCCCUAUGGGCGUUAAACCUCUUUUGUGCGGGAGCAAUAAUGGUCACGUGUGGCCAGACGAGAGUACCGUACGAAUAAGCAUCGGCUAACUCCGUGCCAGCAGCCGCGGUAAUACGGGGGAUGCAAGCGUUAUCCGGAUUUAUUGGGUUUAAAGGGUGCGUAGGCUGUGAGGUAAGUCAGCGGUGAAAUGCCCCCGCUCAACGGGGUGAAGUGCCAUGGAUACUGGCUUGCUGGAAUGCGGAUGCCGUGAGAGGAAUGUGUGGUGUAGCGGUGAAAUGCAUAGAUAUCACACAGAACACCGAUUGCGAAGGCAUCUCACGAAUCCGCGAUUGACGCUGAUGCACGAAAGCGUGGGUAUCAAACAGGAUUAGAUACCCCUGUAGUC